GAGACGGUGCUCGCUUACCCGGGUCCCCAGGCCCUAACCCUGUUUCUUUUAGGGUUUUGGAAACUUAUAAAGGGUCACAGGCGGGAGAAACAUUCAGGGGAGACGGAGAAGAAAAAUAAUGAAUGCCCCCAAAGAAUCAAAGUGGCAGGACGUCACAGCUUCCCGGGCGGGGGAGCGGUUUCUGCGUGGGUGGCACCUUCUUCGCUCAGGUUGUUGAUCCAAAGCCCGCAAGCGUCGUGGGACUGCUGGAUUUUACACCCUUUUUAGAAGAAAAGUAAUCCAGUGUGCAACGUCCCUCGUAAAGAAACAUAAUUCAAGAUUGUUUCAAGAUGAAAAUGAAAUUAGAAAAUAAAAUAGCCCAGCGAUGUUUUGCCAUGCCUUGGAAAUGCGCCAGAGCUGCUAGUGACAAGAUUUCCUGAGCCGCUCAGUGAUGGUAAUAGUAACCCUUUGUGCGUCUCUGUACUUGGCCAGAUAUGGAAGAUGUGAUGUCGUGACACGCUGCCUGCACCCAGCACCCCGAGCCCUGAGCGGCCUGAAGCCAGAAGGUGAGCCCUGGGAGGCCACCCGUUCGAGCCCGGAGGCGAUGCCCCCGCCAUGAGUUAAAGAGUUUGAGAAGUAGUGACAUUAGCUCUUACCUAAACAUCUUAUGGAAUCCAGCAGUGAAGCCAUUUGGACCCAAGCUUUUCUUAUUUGGUAAGUUAUUAAUUAUAUU